AUUGAACGCUGGCGGCAGGCCUAACACAUGCAAGUCGAGCGGAUGAAGGGAGCUUGCUCCUGGAUUCAGCUGCGGACGGGUGAGUAAUGCCUAGGAAUCUGCCUGGUAGUGGGGGAUAACGUCCGGAAACGGGCGCUAAUACCGCAUACGUCCUGAGGGAGAAAGUGGGAGAUCUUCGGACCUCACGCUAUCAGAUGAGCCUAGUUCGGAUUAGCUAGUUGGUGGGGUAAAGGCCUACCAAGGCGACGAUCCGUAACUGGUCUGAGAGGAUGAUCAGUCACACUGGAACUGAGACACGGUCCAGACUCCUACGGGAGGCAGCAGUGGGGAAUAUUGGACAAUGGGCGAAAGCCUGAUCCAGCAAUGCCGCGUGUGUGAAGAAGGUCUUCGGAUUGUAAAGCACUUUAAGUUGGGAGGAAGGGCAGUAAGUUAAUACAUUGCUGUUUUGACGUUACCAACAGAAUAAGCACCGGCUAACUUCGUG
rnacentral:rRNA from 1 species